rnacentral:rRNA from 1 species
GAUGAACGCUGGCGGCGUGCCUAAUACAUGCAAGUCGAGCGAACAGAUAAGGAGCUUGCUCCUUUGACGUUAGCGGCGGACGGGUGAGUAACACGUGGAUAACCUACCUAUAAGACUGGGAUAACUUCGGGAAACCGGAGCUAAUACCGGAUAACAUAUUGAACCGCAUGGUUCAAUAGUGAAAGGCGGCUUUGCUGUCACUUAUAGAUGGAUCCGCGCCGUAUUAGCUAGUUGGUAAGGUAACGGCUUACCAAGGCAACGAUACGUAGCCGACCUGAGAGGGUGAUCGGCCACACUGGAACUGAGACACGGUCCAGACUCCUACGGUAGGCAGCAGUAGGGAAUCUUCCGCAAUGGGCGAAAGCCUGACGGAGCAACGCCGCGUGAGUGAUGAAGGUCUUCGGAUCGUAAAACUCUGUUAUCAGGGAAGAACAAAUGUGUAAGUAACUGUGCACAUCUUGACGGUACCUGAUCAGAAAGCCACGGCUAACUACGUG